rnacentral:rRNA from 1 species
CGCGGUAAUUCCAGCUCCAAUAACGUAUAUUUAAGUUGUUGCAGUUAAAAAGCUCGUAGUUGGAUUCCGGGCGUGGAGGUUCGGUCCGCCGUUUCGGUGUGCACUGUUGUUCUGCGUCUUUCUUUCUGCGGGACGCCGCUCUGCCUUAAUGGCUGGGACGUGAUCCGGCGUGGUUACUUUGAAAAAAUUAGAGUGUUCAAAGCAAGCUAAAGCUCUGAAUACAUUAGCAUGGAAUGACGCGAGAGGACUCGGUCCUUAUUUUGUUGGUCUUCAAGGAUGGAGUAAUGAUUAAGGGGGACGGUUGGGGGCAUUCGUAUUUCAUUGUCAGAGGUGAAAUUCUUGGAUUUAUGAAAGACGAACUACUGCGAAAGCUUCUGCCAAAGACGUUUUCAUUGAUCAAGAACGAAAGUUGGGGGCUCGAAGAUGAUCAGAUACCAUCCUAGUCUCAACCAUUAACGAUGCCGACUAGGGAUUGGCAGGUGUUACAUCGAUGACUCUGCCAGCACCUUAUGAGAAAUCAAAGUUUUUGGGUUCCGGGGGGAGUAUGGUCGCAAGGCUGAAACUUAAAGGAAUUGACGG